rnacentral:rRNA from 1 species
AUACGGAGGGUGCAAGCGUUAAUGGGAAUUACUGGGCGUAAAGCGCGCGUAGGCGGAUUGUUAAGUCUCAUGUGAAAGCCCUGGGCUCAACCUGGGAACUGCAUGGGAUACUGGCAAUCUAGAAUACAGUAGAGGGUAGUGGAAUUUCAGGUGUAGCGGUGAAAUGCGUAGGGAUCUGAAGGAACAUCAGUGGCGAAGGCGACUACCUGGACUGAUAUUGACGCUGAGGUGCGAAAGCGUGGGGAGCAAACGGGAUUAGAAACCCCAGUAGUCC